CUGUCAUUUCAAGUAAAGAAAAAUGUCUCGC
rnacentral:piRNA from 1 species